UUACUUUAAUGAACAAAAAUACAAUAGACAAAUUCAUCAUUAUUUGCUGAUGCUAAUAUAUAAUACCAAAAAAUUGUUGAUAGUAUUUAGUCAAAAGCAGUGUUUUAAAAAGCGCCCUAAGGCGCGCCUAGGCUCAAGGCGCCCACUUGGGGCUUAUUUGUGAGGAAGCGCAGCGAAUUCUAAAAGGCCCAGAUUAGGCGGAGGCGCGCCUAGGCGCAAGUCGAAUUAGGUGUGGGCUUUUUUAAUAAGUUAUGGGCUGGGCUUUAAUUAUAAAAAACUAUUAUUAUCUAGGUUUUUUAAACCUAUUACGUGAACGUGAAGAAAGAACCCUUCUCCUUCCGCGCGCGAAGUUUCUUCAACACGACUCUUCAUCUACUUCUUCGGUUCUUCCGUUCUGCUUCUACUUCAAAAACUUUUUGCUUCCUUUUCCACCCUUCCGUUCCGGCCACCCUUCGUCACACAAAACGUCAACAAAUCUAUUUGGGGCUGCGGCUGCCAUUACUCUGUUUUUUGGUGCAAAAACAGAGGAAAAGAGAAGACAAUAAUAUUCUGUGCUAGUGCUUCAGCUUUCGCCUCCUCCAUCUCAACUUUAUCACGGGUGAUUAUCUCAAUCGUUCAGUUAACAUCUGCAGCUUUCUCCUUCUUCUGUAACUCUUUGACAAGAACAUCAAACUCCAUCAGCAUCCCACUUUCUUUCACCAUAGCUUCUUCAAUUCUCAUUUGAAGCUCAGAAAUUCUCUUCCUGUUCUCUUCCUUUUCCUGUUUGAAACAGAAUGUACUCUGUUUCAAAGAAUUAUUAGUUUUUAUCCUUUUAUUUUCAUUUAACAUAUUGAUUGCUCAGAACGGUGAAAAGAACAAAUAUGGAUGAAUGAACUUGAAAUGUUUCCCAUCUCUUGCAUCUUUUGGCUCUAUGUCAUUUUGUGUUUUCAUAGCAUGGUAUACCCAUUGAGUGACUAUUGGUUUUGUCUCUUGACUUAUUUAUUGUGUGCAAGUUUUGGACAUCUUCUUCUUCUUAUACUUCUCGACUUCAACUUCCUUCGAUAACCCAUCAAACACAGCCUUCAUCCCAUCGGUCUCACAACACACUCCCCUCCAAUCCUCCAUUUAUAACAACUUCAUCCCAUCCAUAGAUAGCUUCUGUUUUUUUUUUUUUUUGAAUAACUUAGAUCAUAGAUGGCUGAUAAAAGUUCAAGAAAAAAUCCGGCAUGGAAAUAUGGUCAAUUGCAAAAUGACCAAGAUAUAAAUACGUUUGUCUGUGGAUUUUGUUCGAAAGUAACAAAAGGAGGGGUAUAUAGAAUGAAACAACACCUCGUUGGUGGUUAUAGAAAUGUCACCGCCUGUACAAAAUGUCCGGAUCACGUGAAGGAAGAAAUUAAAGAGUGCAUGUCCAAGAAAAAAGAGAUUAAAGAACAAAGAAAUCUGAUUGUGGACAUUGAUGUAGAAGAUUACGGUAUUGAGGAUGAAGAUGAAGGGAGUGUUAGUAUAAACAACAAAGCAACACCAAGGGGCCCGAGCUUGAAGAAGCCAAGGCAAAAGGGUCCAAUGGAUGCAUUUUUUACUCCUAACCCAGAAACUGUGGUUCAAAAUAGAAAGGACAAAGGAAAACAAACUUCAUUGAAUGCGACAUACAAGAAGGAAAUGAGAGAGCACACCAUCCAAAGAAUUGCUCGAUGGUUGUAUGAUGCAGGAGUGCCUCUGAAUGCUUGCACAUAUGAGAGUUUUGCCCCUAUGAUUGAGUCAAUUAGGCAAUUCGGUCCUGGAUUGAAACCACCAUCUUAUCAUGAGUUAAGAGUUCCAUGUUUGAAGAAGGAAUUAGAAGCGACAAAUGAGUUUACCGUAAGGUAGAGUGGGCCAAGGUUGGAUGCACUGUUAUGGCUGAUGGAUGGACCGAUAGAAGAAAUAGGACAUUAAUUAACUUUUUAGUUAACAGUCCUAAAGGCACCAUGUUUAUUGAGUCCAUCGAUGCUUCAUCUUAUGUGAAAGAUGGAAAGAAGAUGUUCGAGUUAUUUGAUAAUUUUGUAGACCGAAUUGGAGAAGCGAAUGUUGUACAAGUAGUUACCGAUAGUGCCUCAGCAAAUGUGAUGGCAGGGAGAUUGUUAGAAGCAAAGCGACCACAGUUAAUAUGGUCUCCGUGUACCGCUCAUUGCUUAGAUUUGAUGUUGGAGGAUAUAUACAAGAUCUCGAAUAUUCGCAAAGCAUUGAAAAGAGGCAUGGAGAUUAGCAAUUUCAUAUACGUUCGUCCUGGAUUGUUAAACAUGAUGUGACGUUUUACUAACCAAAAGGAGUUAGUUAGACCAGCUAAGACUCGUUUUGCUACUGCCUGCAUUACAUUAUCGAGUAUACAUCGUCAAAAGAAUAAUAUGAGGAAGAUGUUUACUUCAGAUGAAUGGAAGGAUAGCAAAUGGAGUAAGGAGCAACAAGGGAAACGAGUAGUUCAGACUAUUUUGUUGGCUAGUUUUUGGACUACAAUUGUUUUCACUCUUAAAGUAUCUGGCCCACUAGUCCGAGUUCUUAGAUUGGUUGAUGGCGAGAAGAAGCCACCUAUGGGAUAUAUUUAUGAGGCCAUGGAUAGAGCUAAGGAAGCUAUUGCUAAAUCCUUUAAUAAUAAUGAAGAAAAAUACAAGGACAUUUUCACCAUAAUUGAUAAAAGAUGGGAGCUUCAGUUGCAUCGUCCUCUGCAUGCAGCGGGGUAUUAUUUAAACCUGUC